UACAGAGGGGGCGAGCGUUGUUCGGAAUUACUGGGCGUAAAGGGCGCGUAGGCGGCCUCUUAAGUCGAACGUGAAAUCCCUCGGCUUAACCGGGGAACUGCGUCUGAUACUGGAUGGCUUGAGGUUGGGAGAGGGAUGCGGAAUUCCAGGUGUAGCGGUGAAAUGCGUAGAUAUCUGGAGGAACACCGGUGGCGAAGGCGGCAUCCUGGACCAAUUCUGACACUGAGGAGCGAAAGCCAGGGGAGCAAACGGG
rnacentral:rRNA from 1 species